AAGAUUUUUAAUCCGUGGUCCGCAUAUUUGGAAACGUGUUGCAUAUUAACUGUUGUUAAUAGAAAUCAGUACCAAUUAGGAAAAAAUGUGUAUACUAACAAUGUGUUCCCACGUUGGGAGGAAUUUGUCCCAGUGGACAGAGAAUUAAAUUUUGAGGUUACAGAAUUUGAGAGGGAGAUAAAGGGACAUUGCGAACUGAAAUGUCAGUAUCCGAAGAGAGGUGUGAUAUUGUGCUUGUUAUCAGCUUAGUGCAUCAAACUUCCUUGGGUCAGGGUGGUGGCUUCAUCAUGGGUACAAGCCCUUUCACUGGGGCUUUCCUUGAAAACUGGCUGAGUUCUCAAGCCAAACCUUCCAUUUUAGGUUCUGAGAUGUACACAAUUUCCGCAGUAACUUACUUUCUUCGAUGGCAAGAUCUUUUUCAAUUUUGGAUAUUUAGUACGCUUGGUAAAUGUUUAUGAAUUGUGUCGUUCGGCUCCAUAUUUUUUCUCCUCUCCGUAUGGUUCAUCUUGACCAGCGUUUGCAGACAGAUGAGAGGCAAGCCUUGUACAGUUUGCCACGCACCCAACCCUUCCUUAGUGUCUUCCAGAUGGCCACUUACAUUACCUGUCCGGGAUGUGACAACAUUUUAGUUUUCUUUUUCUGAUCUCAGCCAGAGGUGCCAAUGUAAACAUGAAUGGGAACUGGCUUUGGCCAUUCACUGGCUCAACAAUGUUUACGGAAUGCUAACACAUGCCAGGUUCAAUGUAGAUACCAUGGUCUGGAGUCUGGAAUAGACAUAUAUGAAACAGUUUUGAUUAGACAAAAAGAAACUAACCCACAAGUGGGUUAUGCCUAGCGUAGUUCCUGAACUAUUUUUCUUUGUUAUGAUGCUGAUGCAAACGAUCCAAAAUUUUAUGUAGUAUUUGGUGCAUAUUUUAUGAGGAUUAAAUUUAUGUUUUGUCACCAAUUGCAUCCCAACUUGAAGAUUCAGGUUUUCUGAAUAUCUGUACGGUCCCUCCCUCCAAGUCCAGAGACUUGGACUUCCUAUUCAUUAGGAAGAAGUUCAAUGGCAUAGAGGAAAGGACUCUGGGUAUUAGGAUAGGUAUGUCCUCGUCUUGGCAUUGCGCCUGGAAAAGUGGCAUCAGUCUUGUGUCUAUUUCUUAAUCUGGAAAAUGAGGCAACUGGAUUACACGUGCGUUUCUCAAGGUGUGAAUGUCCUAAGAACUGUCUUCCUCACUCUUCUUCUGGAGUCCAGAAAGUCAUAAAAAGCUGAAUACUCUAUUGGGGUAUUCAAACUAUAACUACAUUUUAGCAACCAUGAAGCUCAACACAUGACAGCAAUAACUGGCAAUGCAACGUGUGUGUCCCCCAAAUCUUUGAACUAUAAACCCUGUUCUGAGCAAUCUGUCUACACUGCAUGGGCCACCUGGACGACUGGAUAUCCCCAGAAAGGCCCGGCUUUAGUGAAAUGCAACAAUGGCUCAUAUUUCAGGAGGUUGAGCUAAUUUGGAUCAAACUUUGCAAACAGUGGGAAAACCUGCAAUGUUCAGAGCGCACAGUGAGUGCACGGAGGCUAAUGAGCUGCCUUCUGACUCAUUCAUGACAGGGUCAACACCCCCACAGCAUCUUCUUUGUUAGGAAGGCUGCACCGAUAUACGCAUACUCUGCCCUUCCAAUUUCCUCUUGAUUCUCUCAUUUGAUGAGGGUGUUAUCAUGGAAGGUUUGUGUUAUGGUGUAUUCUCACAGCAUUUUAAGUUUUCUUGGGGAGUCGUGGCUUCUAUUUUCGCUUCUCAACUCCUUCUCUCCUUUGGCUCUGCUAAAUGCCUAGGCGGAGCCUCCAAAAUUACUAUGUCCCUUUUAUUCCUAUUAUUCUGAUUCUAGUCUGGAAUAUAUUCUCAAUUCACAUUUAUGUCACCCAAGAGUUUAAAAAACCGAGAUCCUAAUUUAUUUUAUAGUUGAAAUCCUUCUCUCCUUAAGUCUGUUCAAAUGGCUUUAGGCAGAAACUCAUCUGCUUUUGAAGUCAUUGAUGUGGCUUCCAGGAAACGGAGCUGCUGCGAUUGAUGUCUUGGUCCUAAAAUACCCAAUCUUCUCAGAACGUGCUAGACAGACGAGAGAAGGCGUGAGUGCCUGGAUACAAUGCUAUGAGCGGAAUUACGUCCCCCCAGAUUCAUGUGCUUAAGUCCUAACCCCCAGAACCUCAGAAGGGACUGUAUUUGGAGAUAGGGUCUUUAAAGAGGUGGUUAAGUUAAAAUGAGGUCAUUAGGGUAGGUCCUAAUCCAAUAUGUCUGGUGUCCUUAUAAGAAGAGGAAAUUAGGAAACAGGUGUGCGUGGAGCGAAGGCCAUGUGAAGACACAGGGCGAGGUGGCCAGCUUCAAGCCAAGGAGAAAGGCCUCAGAAGAAGCCACCAAUACCUGGAUCUUGGACUUCCAGCCCCCAGGAUUGUGAGACAGUAAAUGUCUGCUGUUUAAGCCACCCAGUCACUGGUAUUCAUUAUGGUAGCCCAUGCAAAUGACAACAUACAGGAGUCCGUGGAUGCAGAAUCCCACCACCUUCCUGCACGCAGAUGCGCCAUCACCCUGUAAUUGUGAUUCUUUUGGCCAAGGAAGAGUUCACCUAGCUUCUCAACUCCUACGUUGAUGUGAUCAUGUUGGCAGUAUCUUUCUCAUGAUUUCCAGAAGAAUGAUCCAUGGAUAAGCAUCUUCAUCAAGAAAUAGCAUCCAAAUACACGGGUGUUUAUUUUCACAGAAAGCCAUCUCUUGCCCACAAGCAGUUCUCAUCACUUUCCUGACAAAGGAAUAUUAUAGAAACAAAGUUGAAAAAUACUUUGUCGUGUGAGGCAGCUUUGGUUUAGCUGCAGAGCUAAACUCUCACCUCAGCACUAAAUUGGAAUUGGCUGUGAAUGAUUACAAAUGAAAAUCUGUCACCGCUGAAGGGUCUCAUCUGCAACACGAGGUAAGAACAGGUAUUUUUUCAUAUUACUGUCUUCUAGCAGGUGGUUUAUAUACCUGGGCUCCUGAAUGCUUUCCUGGGCCUUGUUAAAUUGAUUGCUUUUCUGGACUCCAUGGGAGAAAAAUCACUUGAAGAAGCUCUGAGCAGCGCAGUGACAGGUUCCUGGAUAUACUCUUGCCUUUUUUUCUAACCCCUUUGAAUUUGCUCAGCAGAUUAAAAAAAGACACCACCAUUCUCCCAUUUGUCUAAACAUAUUCAGUCUCUUAAAUUAACUUCAGUCAUAUAUUUGUUUCAAAGUCUGGUUGAGUUUAAACUGCCAUUAAACCUUUAAUCAAAUUCUCUUGAUUUAGUGUUACAAAGUACUUAUUCUGGCAUAUAGGAAUUAUAGAUGUAAUUGUAGUUUUCUCUAGAUCUCAGUCACUAGCUCCACCCUAAGUUUUAUUCCUAUAUCCAUCCAGGAACAAAGAGAAUGCAAAACAUAACACGAUAUCAGAACUACAAAGGAAAACAAAAUGCAUAUUGAAAGGUGAAAGUAUCUUCCAGAGCUGCUAGAGACUUCCUAGCAAGCCCAGGAAGAAAGAGAACACGUUUGCAAAGAGAAUAUUGGGAGAAAGUGAUUGGCAGUGAGAUAUCAACAGACACAGGCAAAGGCUGCAGAUCCCGUUAAUGUCAGUGAAGGAUCAAAGAUUUAACUGCAUGGCGAUGGCUAUACCAAGCUGGAGACUCAGCAGCGUUCCACCUCUUGGAGAUCAAUUUUCAUGGCCUUAAAAUUCCUGGAACAGUGCUUGUCAGCCAAUAACACAGCCUGUCUGUGGACAGGCUCUCCCCAGGCAGGUUUUUCAAGAGGCUCAACCUGGGUCCAAGAAGAGGCCAUUGUGCCCCUCUGGCUUGUAUGUUCCUGUGACUAUAUGGAGAAGCCCCAGUCAUUCUCACUCUGUGCUAUGUGCUCACCUCCUGGUCUGGGAAAUCCAGUUAAAACCUUAAAUUAACUCUCUCUGUUGUCCUGGGGAUGUCAUGUGCCUCUUUUAUCACUGUGGGUGCACUCUGGUCCUAAAGUCCUUCUGGAAACAUGCAGGUGUACAGAAUCAAAGAUUGCUCUGUCAUCCCUGGGAAUCUGACCAUCCCACAGAGAAAUGGGCUUAAGGUCUUUCUUAUGUCCUAUCCUGAUACACAAGUAAAACCUUUAAACUCUCAGCA